UACGGGGGGGGUAAGCGUUGUUCGGAAUUACUGGGCGUAAAGGGCUCGUAGGUGGCCAACUAAGUCAGACGUGAAAUCCCCAGGCUCAACUUGGGAACUGCGUCUGAUACUGGAUGGCUUGAAUUCGGGAGAGGGAUGCAGAAUUCCAGGUGUAGCGGUGAAAUGCGUAGAUAUCUGGAGGAAUACCGGUGGCGAAGGCGGCAUCCUGGACCGAUAUUGACACUGAUGAGCGAAAGCCAGGGGAGCAAACGGG
rnacentral:rRNA from 1 species